rnacentral:rRNA from 1 species
AUAGCUUUAGGGCUAGCCUCGGAAGAUAGCGUGUUGGAGGUAGAGCACUGUUUUGGUGCGGGGCCCAUCUCGGGUUACUAAAUUAAGAUAAACUCCGAAUGCCAAUCACGUAUGUCCGGGAGUCAGACAGUGAGUGAUAAGAUCCAUUGUCGAAAGGGGAACAGCCCAGAUCGUCAGUUAAGGUCCCUAAGUGUGUGUUAAGUGGAAAAGGAUGUGAAGUUGCAUAGACAACUAGGAUGUUGGCUCAGAAGCAGCCACCAUUUAAAGAGUGCGUAAUAGCUCACUAGUCGAGUGAUUCUGCGCCGAAAAUGUACCGGGGCUAAACACACCACCGAAACUACGGGUGCCACAUCAGUGGCGCGAUAGGAGAGCGUUCUAAGGGCAAUGAAGUCAGACCGUGAGGACUGGUGGAGCGCUUAGAAGUGAGAAUGCCGGUAUGAGUAGCGAAAGACAGGUGAGAAUCCUGUCCACCGUAUGACUAAGGUUUCCUGGGGAAGGCUCGUCCUCCCAGGGUUAGUCGGGACCUAAGGCGAGGCCGAAAGGCGUAGUCGAUGGCUAACAGGUUGAGAUUCCUGUACCAGGUGAACAUGUUUGAACGAUGGAGGGACGCAGAAGGCUAACAGAACCCAGCGGCUGGAAAUGCUGGGCCAAGCAACAAGUCUUAGUGUGAGUCAAAUGCUUGCACUUAUACGGACAAGUUGUGAUGGGGACCGAAAUAAAGUAGGGAAGUCUGUGAUGUCACGCUGCCGAGAAAAGCUUCUAGUUAGUGUUUACCUGCCCGUACCGCAAACCGACACAGGUAGUCGAGGAGAGCAUCCUAAGGUGAGCGAGUGAACUCUCGUUAAGGAACUCGGCAAAAUGACCCCGUAACUUCGGGAGAAGGGGUGCUCAGCGCAAGCUGAGCCGCAGUGAAUAGGCCCAGGCGACUGUUUAUCAAAAACACAGGUUUCUGCAAAAUCGUAAGAUGACGUAUAGGGGCUGACGCCUGCCCGGUGCUGGAAGGUUAAAAGGAGUGCUUAGCUUCGGCGAAGGUACGAAUUGAAGCCCCAGUAAACGGCGGCCGUAACUAUAACGGUCCUAAGGUAGCGAAAUUCCUUGUCGGGUAAGUUCCGACCCGCACGAAAGGCGUAACGAUCUGGGCGCUGUCUCAACGAGAGACUCGGUGAAAUUUAAAGACCCGUGAAGAUGCGGGUUACCCGCGACAGGACGGAAAGACCCCAUGGAGCUUUACUGUAGCUUGAUAUUGAGUGUUUGUGCAGCUUGUACAGCAUAGGUAGGAGCCGUAGAAAUCGGGACGCUAGUUUCGAUGGAGGCAAACGUGGGAUACUACCCUCGUUGUAUGAACACUCUAACUCACACCACUCAGCGUGGUGGAAGACAGUGUCUGGCAGGCAGUUUGACUGGGGCGGUCGCCUCCUAAAAGGUAACGGAGGCGCCCAAAGGUUCCCUCAGAAUGGUUGGAAAUCAUUCGCAGAGUGUAAAGGCACAAGGGAGCUUGACUGUGAGACUUACCAGUCGAGCAGGUACGAAAGUAGGGCUUAGUGAUCCGGUGGUUCCGCAUGGAAGGGCCAUCGCUCAACGGACAAAAGCUACCCUGGGGAUAACAGGCUUAUCUCCCCCAAGAGUCCACAUCGACGGGGAGGUUUGGCACCUCGAUGUCGGCUCAUCGCAUCCUGGGGCUGUAGUCGGUCCCAAGGGUUGGGCUGUUCGCCCAUUAAAGCGGUACGCGAGCUGGGUUCAGAACGUCGUGAGACAGUUCGGUCCCUAUCCGUCGCGGGCGUAGGAAAUUUGAGAGGAGCUGCCCUUAGUACGAGAGGACCGGGGUGGACGUACCACUGGUGUAUCAGUUGUUCCGCCAGGAGCAUCGCUGAGUAGCUAUGUACGGAUGAGAUAAACGCUGAAAGCAUCUAAGUGUGAAACUCGCCUCGAGAUGAGAUUUCCCAUUCAGAAAUGAAGUAAGACCCCUCAGAGAUGAUGAGGUAGAUAGGCUAGAAGUGGACGUGCGGUGACGCAUGGAGCGGACUAGUACUAAUGGUUCGAGGACUUAACCAAG